GCCCGGUUAGCUCAGCUGGUUAGAGCGUCGUACUAAUAUUGUGGACUUUCACAGUCUGCUAUAUCAUGUCAUGCGAAGGUCAACAGUUCAAUCCUGUUACUGGGCA